UGUCGCCCAUGGUCGUCGUCCGGCCACCACGAGCUAGGUUCACGGGGGGGCUCCGCCUCCGAGCGAGUAUCGAUUAAUCCUUUGGUUGAACAACUUUUCCAUUGAGAGAGGAUUUUUUUAGGUUUGGAGUAAUGUAUUCUUAGAGGAGAGAGAGGAUGAGAGUGAGGAGGAGAAGGGUAGAGAGAAGAAGAAGCACUAUGUCAUUAACUUCUUGCAUGGGCUUCUCUAAUUUCUUAC
rnacentral:lncRNA from 1 species